UACGUAGGGGGCGAGCGUUGUCCGGAUUCAUUGGGCGUAAAGAGCUCGUAGGCGGCUUGGUUAGUUGGGUGUGAAACCUCCAGGCUUAACCUGGAGACGCCACUCAAUACUGCCAUGGCUAGAGUCCGGUAGGGGACCACGGAAUUCCUGGUGUAGCGGUGAAAUGCGCAGAUAUCAGAAGGAACACCGGUGGCGAAGGCGGUGGUCUGGGCCGGCACUGACGCUGAGGAGCGAAAGCGUGGGGAGCGAACAGG
rnacentral:rRNA from 1 species